CGAGGACGAACGCUGGCGGCGCGCCUAACACAUGCAAGUCGAACGAGAGAUGAGGAGCUUGCUCUUCAAAUCGAGUGGCGAACGGGUGAGUAACGCGUGAGGAACCUGCCUCAAAGAGGGGGGACAACAGUUGGAAAUGACUGCUAAUACCGCAUAAGCCCACGGCUCGGCAUCGAGCAGAGGGAAAAGGAGCGAUCCGCUUUGAGAUGGCCUCGCGUCCGAUUAGCUAGUUGGUGAGGUAACGGCCCACCAAGGCGACGAUCGGUAGCCGGACUGAGAGGUUGAACGGCCACAUUGGGACUGAGACACGGCCCAGACUCCUACGGGAGGCAGCAGUGGGGAAUAUUGCACAAUGGGGGAAACCCUGAUGCAGCGACGCCGCGUGGAGGAAGAAGGUCUUCGGAUUGUAAACUCCUGUUGUUGAGGAAGAUAAUGACGGUACUCAACAAGGAAGUGACGGCUAACUACGUG
rnacentral:rRNA from 1 species